rnacentral:rRNA from 1 species
UAGGGGGCGAGCGUUAUCCGGAUUCAUUGGGCGUAAAGCGCGCGCAGGCGGGCUCGUAAGCGGGACCUCUAAUCUCGGGGCUCAACCCCGAGCCGGGUUCCGAACUGCGAACCUCGAGUGCGGUAGGGGAGGUCGGAAUUCCCGGUGUAGCGGUGGAAUGCGCAGAUAUCGGGAAGAACACCGACGGCGAAGGCAGACCUCUGGGCCGUCACUGACGCUGAGGCGCGAAAGCUAGGGGAGCGAA